ACGAAGGUGACAAGCGUUAUCCGGAAUUAUUGGGCGUAAAGGGUCCGCAGGCGGUUUGUUAAGUUUAAGCUGAAAGCGUGGAGCUCAACUCCAUUCGGGCUUAGAAACUGGCAAACUAGAGUACAGAAGGGGCAAGUGGAAUUCCAUGUGUAGCGGUAAAAUGCAUAGAUAUAUGGAGGAACACCGGUGGCGAAGGCGGCUUGCUAGUCUGUAACUGACGCUCAGGGACGAAAGCGUGGGGAGCAAAUAGG
rnacentral:rRNA from 1 species